CAUCAUGCUACUCCUAGUCACAGUUCUUUAGAGUGAAUCUUAAUAAAGAACAAUCUGCUUGCAUGACGGAUACAUAUUUGGAUUAUGCUGAAUUUCCAUGAUCAGACACAUUAUCUGAAAAACUGAAGUACUUGUAGAAGCUGUGAAUUCUGAUGUGGACAAAAAUUGUCAGACUAAGCGGAUGUACAACUGAGUUUCACAUCCAAACAGAGCUGAUUUAGGUGAAUAUCUGAGUAAAAAACCCAAAUGGAUGCAAGAAGAAAAGACAUGAUGCAAAAGAUGCAGAAAUGGAGAAACCAUGAACAGUGGGUGAUGGAAGUGAGGGACUAAAGCACAAUUUAAAUCUUUGUAAAGGAGGCGAGUGAGGCUGGCAUUGAUGCAAC